rnacentral:rRNA from 1 species
UACGUAGGGGGCAAGCGUUGUCCGGAAUCAUUGGGCGUAAAGCGCGCGUAGGCGGCCCGGUAAGUCCGUUGUGAAAGUCAAAGGCUCAACCUUUGAACGCCGAUGGAUACUGCCGGGCUAGAGUCCGGAAGAGGCGAGUGGAAUUCCUGGUGUAGCGGUGGAAUGCGCAGAUAUCGGGAGGAACACCGGUGGCGAAGGCGGUUCUCUGGGCCUUACCUGACGCUGAGGAGCGAAAGCGUGGGGAGCGAACAGG